GCAGUUAAAAAGCUCGUAGUUGGAUUUCGGAAUGGGCCCGUUGGUCCGCCGCAAGUGUGUUACUGACUGGUCUGUUCUUCUUCGCAAAGACUGCGUGUGCUCUUCAUUGAGUGUGCGUAGGAUUUACGACGUUUACUUUGAAAAAAUUAGAGUGUUCAAAGCAGGCUAUCGCUUGAAUACAUGAGCAUGGAAUAAUGGAAUAGGACUUUGGUUCUAUUUUGUUGGUUUCUAGGACCGAAGUAAUGAUUAAGAGGGACAAUUGGGGGCAUCCGUAUUUCGUUGUCAGAGGUGAAAUUCUUGGAUUUACGAAAGACGAACAACUGCGAAAGCACUUGCCAAGAGUGUUUUCAUUAAUCAAGAACGAAAGUUAGAGGAUCGAAGACGAUCAGAUACCGCCCUAGUUCUAACCAUAAACGAUGUCGACUAGGGAUCAGCGGGCGUUAUUGUACGACCCCGUUGGCACCUUACGGGAAACCAAAGUUUUUGGAUUCCGGGGGAAGUAUGGUUGCAAAGCUGAAACUUAAAGGAAUUGACGGAAGGGCACCACCAGGAGUGGAGCCUGCGGCUUAAUUUGACUCAACACGGGAAAACUCACCAGGUCCAGACAUAGUAAGGAUUGACAGGUUGAGAGC
rnacentral:rRNA from 1 species